rnacentral:rRNA from 1 species
GAUGAACGCUGGCGGCGUGCCUAAUACAUGCAAGUCGAGCGAACAGACGAGGAGCUUGCUCCUCUGACGUUAGCGGCGGACGGGUGAGUAACACGUGGAUAACCUACCUAUAAGACUGGGAUAACUUCGGGAAACCGGAGCUAAUACCGGAUAAUAUAUUGAACCGCAUGGUUCAAUAGUGAAAGACGGCUUUGCUGUCACUUAUAGAUGGAUCCGCGCCGCAUUAGCUAGUUGGUAAGGUAAAGGCUUACCAAGGCAACGAUGCGUAGCCGACCUGAGAGGGGGAUCGGCCACACUGGAACGGAGACACGGUCCAGACGCCUACGGGAGGCAGCAGUAGGGAAUGUUCCGCAAUGGGCGAAAGCCUGACGGAGCAACGCCGCGUGAGUGAUGAAGGUCUUCGGAUCGUAAAACUCGGUUAUUAGGGAAGAACAAAUGUGUAAGUAACUAUGCACGUCUUGACGGUACCUAAUCAGAAAGCCACGGCUAACUACGUG